CUGGGGCUGCAAACACAGACGUCCCGCCUGCUUUUAGCAUCUCAGAAGCCCAAACCGGCUGUGACCAAUAUGGAGGCGACCUAACCUCCAAGCUGAGCUUUCUUUGUCUCCAGCAGGGCAGGCGCUGAGGACUUACACAAAAUAAACAUGCAUCAGGAUCCUCAAAGACAAGAAAAGAUUGAGAAAACGUGGAAGGUGGCAAAGGCUAAGGAGAAAUAACAACAAUGUAAAGCAGAUCCUGGAUCAGAAAAAAGACAUUAGUGGGAAAAUGGCAGAAUUUCCAUUAAGAUCUGCAGCUCAGUUUAUAAUGUUGUACCACCGUGAAGUUCCUGUUCUCAAUGUAUCUACAAUUAGUUAUGUGGUUCCCUUUAGAGCAAGAGGGCUUGUGAGAUGUUAUAAAGACUGUACAUGGCCUAUUGUUGUACCUCUUCUAUAAUAUGAAAGUGAGUUGACAACUCCUUCAGGGACAAUCACAUUCACACAUUCAAUGAAGACUUGAGACAAGGAUCCUACCGCACAUCCUAGGCUCCCCUUGUCACCUCUUCAGACUGACUUUGAGUCGGAGUUCCCUCUUGUCCAGCAAGAGAGUGGAUGCAGAAUUGAAUACGAGAGAGGCUAAUGUCCGGGAGGAGACGAGAGCCCCAAGAUUUGCAAAGCAAGGACUGAGCAGAUCACCUCCACAUUUCUUCCACGCUACAAUUCUAUGAAUUGGAAGUGAAAUGGAACCUUCCCAGAACAUGGGUGAGACCCGUGCAGACAUGCUGGAUACCCUCCCGGGGUAGAGCCCUCAGCCCCACUGAAGGGUACUGGAAGGAGGAAGUAUAGGAUACCCGGCGGGGAAUCAAGUGGUUCCUGCAGGAUCAGUGCCUCCACAAUGACCAAGGUUUAGACCAAGACUUCAGGGUGCUAAAGGUGGUGAAGUAUCAAAAGGAAAACAUAGAAAUGGACUUCCACUCCAACCAUGAUGGAGGCACAAGGACCAGAUUUACCUUUGCUGCUUCAACAAAUGAAAAACUGGAAAAAAUAAGUAAAACAACAUUUGAAAACAGGCAAAGCAGGGGAAAAAUCCCUGAGAGAAGGAGAAAAGGAGGGAAGUCCUGUGACUGUCCUAGUGUACUUCCUGUAGAGACUUUUGCAAGCCACAGCAGAGGAA